rnacentral:rRNA from 1 species
GACGAACGCUGGCGGCGUGCUUAACACAUGCAAGUCGAACGGAAAGGCCCUGCUUUUGUGGGGUGCUCGAGUGGCGAACGGGUGAGUAACACGUGAGUAACCUGCCCUUGACUUUGGGAUAACUUCAGGAAACUGGGGCUAAUACCGGAUAGGAUCUCCUGCUGCAUGGUGGGGGUUGGAAAGUUUCGGCGGUUGGGGAUGGACUCGCGGCUUAUCAGCUUGUUGGUGGGGUAGUGGCUUACCAAGGCUUUGACGGGUAGCCGGGCUGAGAGGGUGACCGGAUCCAUUGGGACUGAGCUACGGCCCAGCCUACUACGGGAGGCAGCAGUGGAGAAGAGAGCACAGCGGGAGGAAGCCUGAUGUGGCAACGCCGCGUGCGGUAUGUCGGGCUUCGCGUUGUAAACCGCUUUCGUCUGUCACGAGGCGUGAGUGACGGUAAUGGGUAAAGAAGCACCGGCUAACUACGUG